GACGAAGGUGGCGAGCGUUGUUCGGAAUCACUGGGCAUAAAGCGCGCGUAGGCGGUGCCGUAAGUCAGAUGUGAAAUCCCUCGGCCUAACCGAGGAACUGCGUCUGAUACUGCGGUGCUUGAGGAUCAGAGGGGUGCAUGGAAUUUCCGGUGGAGCGGUGAAAUGCGUUGAUAUCGGAAGGAACUCCGGCGGCGAAAGCGAUGCACUGGCUGAUUUCUGACGCUGAGGUGCGAAAGCCAGGGGAGCAAACGGG
rnacentral:rRNA from 1 species